rnacentral:rRNA from 1 species
UGCAGUGGUUGUCGUCAGCUCGUGUCGUGAGAUGUUGGGUUAAGUCCCGUAACGAGCGCAACCCUUGUCCUUAGUUACCAGCACGUUAUGGUGGGCACUCUAAGGAGACUGCCGGUGACAAACCGGAGGAAGGUGGGGAUGACGUCAAGUCAUCAUGGCCCUUACGGCCUGGGCUACACACGUGCUACAAUGGUCGGUACAAAGGGUUGCCAAGCCGCGAGGUGGAGCUAAUCCCAUAAAACCGAUCGUAGUCCGGAUCGCAGUCUGCAACUCGACUGCGUGAAGUCGGAAUCGCUAGUAAUCGUGAAUCAGAAUGUCACGGUGAAUACGUUCCCGGGCCUU